rnacentral:tRNA from 1 species
GCCAGCAUGGUGUAGUGGUUUGGGCAUUGGACUAGGACUCUGGAGACCAGGGUUCGAAUCCUGGCUCAGCCG